rnacentral:rRNA from 1 species
UACAGAGGGGGCAAGCGUUGUUCGGAAUUACUGGGCGUAAAGGGCGCGUAGGCGGCCUGUUAAGUCGGACGUGAAAUCCCUCGGCUCAACCGGGGAACUGCGUCCGAUACUGGCGGGCUUGAAUUCGGGAGAGGGAUGUGGAAUUCCAGGUGUAGCGGUGAAAUGCGUAGAUAUCAGGAGGAACACCGGUGGCGAAGGCGGUGCUCUGGGCCAGUACUGACGCUGAGGAGCGAAAGCGUGGGGAGCAAACAGG